rnacentral:rRNA from 1 species
UACGGAGGGUGCAAGCGUUGCUCGGAAUUAUUGGGCGUAAAGGGUAGGUAGGUGGUCUCAUUUGUCUGGGGUGAAAGCCUUGAGCUUAACUCAAGAAGUGCCCCAGAAACGAUGAGACUAGAGUCCUGGAGAGGGUCGUGGAAUUCCCGGUGUAGCGGUGAAAUGCGUAGAGAUCGGGAGGAACACCAGAGGCGAAGGCGGCGACCUGGACAGGUACUGACACUCAACUACGAAAGCGUGGGGAGCAAACAGG